GCCCCGCCGCCCGCCCGCCCGGGAGGCGCCGGUACCUGCGUCCGCUGGCCGCGGUGUCUGCGCGCCGCUGCGCCCCUGCGGCGGGUCCGGCGGAGCGGUGCGGCGCGACUAGCAGCGCCGAGCGGGAGGAAACGAGCGCCCUUCUCGCAGACAAAGCAUCCCGCGGCAUUGUCACCAGCGCUGCUCCUCCCUGCUCCCGGGCCCUGGCUCUGCUCCUCCGCGGCCGCUUUUCCCCCCGGGAAGGUUGGCGAGGGCUCGGACUCCGGACCCGGUGUCGCCCAGCCAGGCUUUUGGGGCAUUUGGGCUCGGCAACAGGCUCCUGCUGGAGGAAACCCAAGGGAGCGUGGCCUGGCAGGUACCUGGGAGACCCGGGAUCUCUCUGCUCUUCUCUGUCUUCCCCCAAAAGAGCAGUCCCGGCACGGGGCAGCCCCCUCACAGCUGGAGGACAAAGUACGGCCAGGGCGAUGGGCAGGAGAAACGAACAGGGCAACGUUUCCUCCUGCUUUGGGUUUCAUUGCACUGAAAGCUGGUGCUUUUCUCCUGCCGGCGAACGGGUACAUGACUCAAAUAUGUCUUUGCUCUCCCACCCGCAUCUCCUCUAGUUCUGUUAAUGGAAGGAUACAGCAGCAUGCAGACUCGCUAGGCAUUUUCAUAUAACCCCUGCUGAAGACUUGCUAAGAUCCUCUCUACUGCAAAAUACGGUUUGCAUUGUGAGGGCAGAACAGCAGGGAAAAGGAGAUUUUGGGCCAUCUGUGUUUCACAGAAGUCCCGUGGUGCUAACCUUGCACUGGGAACAGUGGAGAUGGACCAAAGAAGAGUGAACAGUCCCCACAGCCCUGCGCUCCCAGGUGUUCCCAGCUUUGUAUUCGUGGGCAUCCUGUGCUGAAAGCAGCCAGCAUUCUGUGAGACCCCACCAGGGACCACAAACGCAGGUGGCUCUUGGCCGCACUAGGGAACGAAGCGCAACGUUUCUCUACCGGCGCAGCCACUUGUUCGGUUGCAGCGAGGAUGCCUUGCUGCAGAUUAGGAACCGGCGCUCACAUCGGUGAAAUGUAAGUGGCGGCUGGAGCCUCAUCUGUGCUAAGGAUCCUGCCAGCACAGCUGUACCACUGACAGCAGUGGAAUAUUUUGCUCAAGUUCUCUAGAGGAAUCAAAGCCUGUAUUUUCUGUCUCUGGCUCUCUCUUGUUCUGUUGCUCCUCGCUCAUUAAAAGAAAAGUCAGCCACACAAAGCACAUGGUUGCUCUCUCUGUGUAAAAAAAAAAAAAAAAGUUUGGGGUAACAAACUGUCAGCCAAAGCUGUUUUGAAGUUAGAGGCGUGUAAACAGUACCUGGAACUAAGUGGAAUAAUAACAAUAAUAAUUAGUCCUUUUGUGUCAUAAAUGUGCGCGUUGCUGUCUGCUGUUUCGUUAUGAGGCAGCACAACUCCUGAGAAUGUGCCUGACGAAUAUUUGGGGGACCUCAGCCUCCAGCCGCCGCAGCGUACGGCAGCACUGCUGCCCCUGGCUCCUCCGGCUCGCUUACGUAACCCAAAUCGCAACUUGGAGCCCAAAUUACAAAGCGUAAGCAUGUGUAUAAUAUUAAGCAUGUAAAUGGGGCCUGAAAUUACUAUCCUUUUCCUGUAGGUCUGGCUUUAAUCUGUUAGUAUUUUUACUCCCGCAGUUCUAUCGAUUUCACUGUGCGCUGGUGCCAUUCAUAGCGUAACCAAGCCUAACCCCUUGAAAACCCCACCAUCGAGGCAUGAACCCAGAGUUAACUACGCCAGGCCAAAAUCAUUCCUGUUGCAGGCAGGUGUAGUUCAAAUGGCUUGACUACCGGAUCUCGAGUGUAUGCAGUAUUAAGAAACGUACAGAAAGCAGAAUAUAAUGUUGCUGUGGCUGCUUUGCAGAGCAGGCGGAGCGGCAGGGUUUUGCACCCCAGGCCAAGGCACAGGUCAGCAAUCACCUUCCUUCGCGUUUUCCCUCUUUCUUAGAGACUAUUUUCGCCAUUAGCACGCUGAGCCGCUUUCUGGAGUUUUAAGGUGUCGGGUGCUGAUACAGUCAGCGCCUCUGGUAUCUGUUUAAUCCAAUAACAUAACUCUUUUUUAAUCUCCACGUCUGGGUCACAGGGUUUAAAAAAGACGCUGGGCCAAAUCCCCAGCUUGGCUACAACGUGUGGAAAUCUACCGAGAAGGCACGAAAGUCCGAAGAGAUUCGCUGUGUUUGCACCCUGUAAAAGAGGGCUCGAGGGGCAGGGAUGCGAGUGCCUGAUUUCGCAGAUGGAUGCAUACUAACGCGAGCGUGCGGCAGGGUUAGAUCACAUUUCCAUCAGGUGGGGCGGAUGGAGGGAGGGAUGUCGCACCGAGAUCUAAAAUGUGCUCAUCAGCAAAUUCUCAUUCAUUCUGAAAUCAAAAUGGAUUUAAUAUUUCUUGCAUUUUCAGGAGAAAAACCUGUUUUUUUUCAAUGUGUGGCAGCUAAAAGGAACAUGAUGGUGGACUAGAUGAUCGGAAAGGUCCCUUCCAACAUAGUCACUUCUAUGAUUCUAUGGUGUUUCACAGACUCAAGACCAAGGCAGGGCAAGAACAAGGAGAAGGUUUUGCAGGGAUUAGGAAGACUUCGCACAUAAACGUUAAAACAAAACCAGCAAAAUCUAUCCAGGCACAAAGUCCAGCAGAAAUCCAGGGCCCAAGGAGACAGCGCUGCCUGUAAAGAAGGGUAUAAGCAAGAAGGGCAAAAAGAUGGUCUGAAAAAGUCCAUCGCAUUAAUGAUUCCCCAAACACCGAUUUCCUACGCAAAGCUAUGUGGGGGCAACCUUUGGGGUUCCCCUGUAUGGCAGAGGAUCCUGAGCUUGAAAAAGGGAGGCAGAUUUUGUGAGGGAUUUACACAUCGUGCAGUGACUCUGGUUUGCAGAUUUUAAGCAUCGCUAAAACAGGGAACAGAACUGUUGCUAUUGCUGUUACGUACCAGGAUGUCUCGCUAAUCCACACAAUCCACUAAGUUGCUGCAAUUUUAGUCUGUGUUUAUUUUAGAUGAAAUUAUGGCCUGGACAGUUAAUUUUUCUUAGUUUAUCCAUUUAAAUCAUGUAUAAAUAAGAUAUCAAACAGAAAUCAAAACACGCCCCGUGUUUUUGGUACACUCCCCAUCACGUGAACCUGCCGGUGAUGGGGUCCCGCACCCAGUUUCCAAACCAAACACAAAGACAACUAAAAACCACAGGUCUUUGCUAAGUAGCCCCAUUGGUUUUAAAUUCUAUGAAGAAUGUGAUUUUAAUGCUACAGGUGGCAUAUUUUGCUUAUAUUUGAGAGUGCCUAGCCAUUAUGGGAUAGUCUCCACUGGUCCUUUCCUUACCUCAACCUAGUUACAUAUUCACUUGAGGCGUUCGGCAAGUCUGAAAGGCUGGAGCGGGUCUUGUCCCGACACCAGUCGAACUUAGAAAUGUCUGUUCCUUCACAGGGGCCGAUUCCUGAAGGGAGGAGCAAGCCCAGAGGAACCAAACAGCCUGGAACCAAAGUGAAGUGUCCCGAGUUAUUGACAGUCAGCUACCUGGAAAUAAAAAACUCUCGUAUAUCCAAAGGUUUUCACUGGGGUUUUCCAGAGCUCCUGAGCAAUUUAAAGUCCUUGAAAGGAAUGUACUAUAGAAUGAAAAAUAUAGGUAGUAUUAAAGAAUGUCUCCAAACUGAAUGCCAGACAGUUUCAUAAAAAUGAGCUAAAAAGCAAUAACAGGUACUCUGUCUCCCGCUGGAUGCUGUACGAACCGUAUGUUUUGCAUUUCUGAAGUCGCUUCUAAACCCGUGGUUUUUUUUCUUCAUCGUUGCUGUUGGGAAAAACAGUAAAAGAACUAUGCAUAAAUGAGGUUAAAGUAAUCUAAUUCAAAAAAUAAACAGCGUGCUUUCAUCUUCAAUUCGUAUCCAGCCAUUUGGGAUCGAACUUUAAAAAAAAAAAAAAAAAGAUAAAAAUUCAGACAGGAUUUUGAAGGACGACUGUUUCCCUUUAAGAUUAAUGAUAAACAUACUUGUGUGUUCAAGGGAGAAUAGAUCCAGUGUUAUGUAACAGGAUAAAGGAACAAAAUCCUUUUUCCUUAAAUUAAAAUAACCAGUGUGUGUGUGGAUUUUAGUCAAUCACCGAAAAUUCAGGAAACCCGUUUUCUUUCUACAACUGCAUUCCACAUGCUAAAAUUGACGUCUUCUAGCUUUUAAACAGAAUCACAACAACUAAAGACGAAAAGGAUUUGUUUGUCCUCUUCGACCA